GAUGAAGAACGCAGCUAAAUGCGAUAAGUAAUGUGAAUUGCAGAAUUCAGUGAAUCAUCGAAUCUUUGAACGCACAUUGCGCCCCUUGGUAUUCCGAGGGGCAUGCCUGUUCGAGCGUCAUUAUAACCCCUCAAGCUCAGCUUGGUGUUGGGGCCUGCUGCACUGGCAGCCCUUAAAAUCAGUGGCGGCGCCAUCUGGCUCUAAGCGUAGUAAUUCUUCUCGCUAUGGAGUCCUGGUGGAUGCUUGCCAUCAACCCCCAAUUUUUCUAUGGUUGACCUCGGAUCAGGUAGGGAUACCCGCUGAACUUAAGCAUAUCAAUAAGCGGAGGA
rnacentral:misc_RNA from 1 species